GUCUAUGGUCAUACCACCCUGAAUGCACCCAAUCUUGUCUGAUCCCGGAAGCUAAGCAGGGUCGGGCCUGGUUAGUACUUGGAUGGGAGACUGUCUGGGAAUCCUGGGUGCUGUAGGCU
rnacentral:rRNA from 13 species